CCCAUUUUACAGAUGACGAAACUGAGGCUGGAAGAGUGAAGGGCUGGGACCUCUCCAUUAAUCUCACUGAAGUCUAGAACACGCAUCAAACAGUGGACAAAUACUCUAAGGGCCGUGGGAAGA
rnacentral:lncRNA from 1 species